GCGCCUACACAUGCAAGUCGAACGAAGUAGCAAUACUUAGUGGCAGACGGGUGAGUAACAUGUGGGUAUCUACCCUUUGGCCUGGAAUAACACGAGGAAACUUGUGCUAAUACCGGAUAAGUCUUUACGGAGAAAGCUUUAUGCACCAUUGGAUGAGCCCGCACUUGAUUAGUUUGUUGGUAGGGUAAUGGCCUACCAAGACUAUGAUCAAUAGCUGAUUUGAGAGGAUGAUCAGCCACAUUGGGACUGAGACACGGCCCAAACUCCUACGGGAGGCAGCAGUGGGGAAUCUUGCACAAUGGAGGAAACUCUGAUGCAGCGAUGCCGCGUGAGUGAAGAAGGCCUUUGGGUUGUAAAGCUCUUUCGUCGGGGAAGAAAAUGACUGUACCCGAAUAAGAAGGUCCGGCUAACUUCGUGCCAGCAGCCGCGGUAAUACGAAGGGACCUAGCGUAGUUCGGAAUUACUGGGCUUAAAGAGUUCGUAGGUGGUUGAAAAAGUUGGUGGUGAAAUCCCAGAGCUUAACUCUGGAACUGCCAUCAAAACUUUUCAGCUAGAGUAUGAUAGAGGAAAGCAGAAUUUCUAGUGUAGAGGUGAAAUUCGUAGAUAUUAGAAAGAAUACCAAUUGCGAAGGCAGCUUUCUGGAUCAUUACUGACACUGAGGAACGAAAGCAUGGGUAGCGAAGAGGAUUAGAUACCCUCGUAGUCCAUGCCGUAAACGAUGUGUGUUAGACGUUGGAAAUUUAUUUUCAGUGUCGCAGGGAAACCGAUAAACACACCGCCUGGGGAGUACGACCGCAAGGUUAAAACUCAAAUGAAUUGACGGGGACCCGCACAAGUAGUGGAGCAUGUGGUUUAAUUCGAAGAUACGCGCAGAACCUUACCAACACUUGACAUGUUCGUCGCGACUCUAAGAGAUUAGAGUUUUCGGUUCGGCCGGACGAAACACAGGGUGCUGCAUGGCUGUCGUCAGCUCGUGUCG
rnacentral:rRNA from 1 species